CAUAGCAUGUACAGCUAUGGCACACACACACACUCACACACACAAACAAAAUAACGCUUACUAACACACUCGAUCGAAUGUUUUCAUUUGAAAAAUGUUACCACUUGUGGUCAGAUAGUUACGUGACGUGUAUUAAAGUAAACAGGACGGACGACGGAGAAGGAUCAAAAAUGUUGUUGGGAGGAGAAAAAUCUUUUCAAAAUGGUUAAACGACAAUCGGCAAAAACAAGCCAGUGGUGUUUCAGAGGACAGGAGACAUGAAGGUGCAGGAUGAGGAAAGACAAACCAGCAGAAAGAUGGAGCAGAGUUCACUGUGUAUGAAGAACCACAAACUUUGUCAUAGGUCGUAGCGGGCUGUACGGUUUGUGGGAGUCUCUUUUUUCCAGAUGAUCUGUUGGGGCAGGUAGCUGUUUCCUGUCAUUGCGUCACCUCGGCGCAUACCCAUUCCUGGUGUCAUCAAGGUCAGGAGUAUUUAGAAGGAGCUGAGAUCCUUACUGGCCGCCAGAUUGUUCUACCUCCCUGUGCAUCACCUUCCCUCGUAGGGGCGAAACCAGACUCCACCAAGCUGGAGCCCAUCUUCUCAGCCACCUGCUCUCCUGCUUACGCCUGCAUGACCCUCAGACCUCCUCGGCCCAGACUCACUCCGCCAGCCAAGCCCCCGACCAGUCAUUAAACCUGAGUUUCUGAAUUCUCCGUGCCUGCCAGAUUACUUUCAACCCUCGCCUGUUUUGUUAUAUCUGUUUUUUGGAAUAAAUCUUGUUUCCUGUG